CACGUAGGGGGCGAGCGUUGUCCGGAAUUAUUGGGCGUAAAGAGCUCGUAGGCGGUGUGUCGCGUCGGCCGUGAAAACCUGCAGCUUAACUGUGGGCGUGCGGUCGAUACGGGCAUCACUGGAGUUCGGCAGGGGAGACUGGAAUUCCUGGUGUAGCGGUGAAAUGCGCAGAUAUCAGGAGGAACACCGGUGGCGAAGGCGGGUCUCUGGGCCGAUACUGACGCUGAGGAGCGAAAGCGUGGGGAGCAAACAGG
rnacentral:rRNA from 1 species